GCGUGUGUGUGUGUGUGUGUGUGUAUGUGUGUGUCUCUGUGUGAGGACACACAUGUAUGAAAGUGUCCUUGGAGGAUGGAAGAGGGUGUCAGAUGCUAGAGCUGAACUUAUGGUUGGUUGUGAGCCUGGGAAUGGAACCUCAAAAGAACAGUAGAGUUGAGUCAUCUCUUCAGUCUCUAAGCACAGCUUUCUGAGCAGCAGAUCCUCUCCUUCAGAAACGUCUAGAAGUGGGGUUCCCACCUUUGCUGUGUCUCAGAUUCAUCCUACCUGUUUUAUUCCAUAGGGUGGGGGAAGCCACAGGAUCCAGAAGUGGUCUUAGUACAUUCCUGGCUGUAGGUUUGGUAGAAGCUGAGUGGAUUAGCCCAGCAACUCACUCCUAGAGUUUUAUCUAGAAGUCAAGAGGAUAUUAGGUCAGAUUCAGGGGUUGAUAGUAAAUACUUGUCAAAGAGGGUGCUAAAGAUAGCCCCUAACAGUUUUGGUUCUUGACCUAUAACAUUUCCUUUCUCCACAAUCAGGAUGUUUUAGUUGGCCAAGGUCAAAGAGGGUUUGUAGCAGAAAACUUCAGUUCCUAUAAUCUUUAUAAGUACAAGGACCCAAACGUGCAUAGCCAAAAAAGUAAAAGAGAAAAGGAGACUCACUGCAGGAGAUCAGGUGACCACAGAAGUUAUUUCUAAAGCAAUGCCUUUCUUGAACAAAGGAAGCAUGUGGACUUUAUUCAGGGAGCUUAUGCAUAUUCACAUGGGCUGGGUACGUCUGAGCAUGCUCAGCUGAGGAGUGUAUUGUUCAAAUACUCUGUUUAAGGUCAUAGUUCAAGAAGGAAAGAGGGUGGAAACAUUCUUUUGGUAGACUCAGCUCAAAGUCAUGGAGCACAGGUUCACAGGUUAAAAUGGCGGGAUGCCUUAGGGCACAUUCAGCUUGCACCAUAAAGAUGAUAGAAAGGAGCAUCUUUAGUCAUGCUUGGUUUUCCCCAAAAGGUUUCAGCUGUAGCAGAAGGAAAGGGUACUUUGGAAGUGAAUUCAUAUGGGAGACGGUCCCAAAAGGCCUGAGCAAGUAGCUAACCGUUCUGAUGUCUCGGAGAUAAAACACUCGCUCCUUUAGGCCAGUGUGUGGAAACCUGGGAACAGAUCGAAGCCACAUGGAAGGCUGAGUGCGGUUAUUGCAAAGAGCUCUGAAUAAAAUUUCAUAGAUGUGGAAAACAAAGCUG
rnacentral:sRNA from 1 species